ensembl:lncRNA
CGGCGAACCAAAUGACAAUAUUCACUUAUAGGUUACUGUUAUCCUGUGCGUUUUCAACUUUUAACGAACACUGAUGCGGAUCACAGGAUGUGUGGAUGCAACAUAAACUUCAAGGUGGUCAUACAUCUCCCAGACACAUGGAGACCUCCUGCAAUAGGCCACAUAAUGUCCAAGAGCAUCCUGGGUUAAGCCUCCUCUAAAAGCAAUGACUGCCCGUAAAGUAAAUCUCUUUCCCUGGAGCAUCAGAUUGGAGGGAAAUUCACUCAAAGGAAAUUCUGUGGAGUUGCUUCCCAGAGGGACACUGUGACAGACUUUGGAUCGGCCUGAGGCAGGGGGACUCGGGAAGGUCAAGGCCUUCUUCCACCGCGGUCUGAAGAUGAGCCAUGCCAGAAGCCUGCAGUACAGCAACAGAAAUACAAACAAAUGCAAUUUCCCUUCUGACUUGUUUGCUGAGACCACAAUUCUGUGAAGAGCACUGUUUUGUUAAUGAAACACAAGUGCGUUUUGUCAUUGACUUUUCAAUGAUAGUGGAGAUGUGGCAUUGUGCAUCAAUUUGGAGAGCACCAGACUUCAGUCGGACAGCUUUGAAUAUUUCGCUCAUCAGUUCUGCCCUCUGUAUGUAGGCCUGUGCAUUCAGACCCUUUGUGGUGAUGGAUUUCACUAGCUGGAGGAGGUUGUUGGAAUCCUCAUUGCAAACAAUAUUUUCAAAAGUUACACUAUCACAGCCCACUUUGAGUCUUUUCCCUCGAACAGAUGGAUCUGCAUGGAGCCAUUCAGGACAAGGAGAGAGGUAUGAACUCCUCUUCCUCUUUUUGGGUGGAACUGCUAAGCCUCUCCAGUUUUCAACAGCUUCUUCAUCUGUUGGAUGGAUGUUUGUGACAGUGUCAGACUUCCCAGAGCAGGAAGCAUCCAUCUCUGGCCUUCCAUCAAUCCUGCAGGUUGUGAAAAAACACGCAUGUUGCCUUCAAUGAAGGACAGAUGUCGAGCAAUGAAUCGAUCCACUCGAAUAGGCAAGUGUUCAUGCUUGAAAAGGCCGCGUUUGA